GCACAACAUAACUCAUCAUCAUCUUGUCCUUUACUGCAGGCUCAGAUAGCUGAUGCCCUCUUGAGUUUAUGUCCAUUUGGUUUAAAACUCAACUUCACACCAUCUUUUAUAGAUUCUGUGGGGAAGAAUCUAAACCAUUCUACUUCUGCAGCCAAGGCUUACCGUCAUCGCUCAAAGGUUGAUGAUUUUGGGUCUCAACAAUUUUCUGACAAGAUGAAGGCUAAUAACUUCUCGAUUUCGUUAAUUAGAAUUGGCAAUUGGGAGAGAAAAUCCAAGCAUGAAGGUGAUCUGGUGGGUAAAUGUUAUUAUGCUAAGAAGAAGUUGGUGUGGGAAUUCUUGGAAAGGGGUUUGAAAAGCAAAAUUGAAAUUCAGUGGAAUGAUAUAAUAGCCAUGAGAGUCCUUACUCAGGAGAAACAGCCUGGAACUCUUGAAAUUGAGUUGAACCAACCUCCUACUUUCCACGAGGAAACUGAUCCACAGCCAAGAAAACACACUAUUUGGAGACUAACAUCAGAUUUCACUAGAAGGCAAGCUUCCAUCUGCAGGAGGCAUUAUGUUAUGUUUCCUCCAGGAUCACUUGACACAACCUAUGAGAAGCUUGUGCAAUGUGACAGAAGGUUUUAUGAAUUGUGCCAGAAACCUUUCCCAAGUCUUCAAUCUCCUUAUUUUGAGCCAAAUAUUUUCAGUUUCACAAAUUCCUCUAUGGAUUACCCUAUGGAUAGGCCAAAUGUUAACCCUGGAUUGCAGUUUAAUUUUGGCAUUCCCUCACCUCUGGUGGCUAUCCAACAUGUCGAGUCUUAUGGGCAAGCACCCCAGCCAUCUUUUAAGGAAAGACCUUCACCCAAUUCAGUUGUGGAUCACGUUAGAUUUGAGAUUCCAAGAAUGGCCUUUUGGGAACAAGGGAUAAGCAAUAAUUUAGCAGCAGCAGAUACUUUUUCCCCGAGUAUUCUUCCAUUCAACCAAGUGGAUCCAACUGUUUCUUUCCAAGGCAACCCAUUAACUUAUUAUGGUCAAGGAGGUGACCCCAAUAACCAUGUAAAUAAAAUGCUAACUAAUCUUGUAGACCAUUUGCUUGGUGACACUAAAGUAGAAGGUUAUGAUGAGAUGUAUCACAUGGCAAGAGUGGAGUCACUGAAUGCAUUGGUCAAUCUCUCCCAAGAAGAGAACCUUGCAACUGCAAGUGAAGAUAGUUCACAGCAGACAUUCUAUGGGCAAGAAAUGGGUACUGGUAGUGAUGACUUGGUUUUGGGUACCAUUGAGCAAGCAAUUGGACUUGGUGGUAGUGGUGGUGGUGGGCAAGAUUAUCUGCAGCUUGUUUCCAACAUGCCUUCUCAGGUCUGUCCAAGCAUGCAAAAUUUUGGCCCUUUCAAUAAUUCCAUCAAUCAAUUCCAUAAUCGCUGGACCUGACAUGGGGUUAUGGAACCAAAGAGAUAAGAGUAUAUAUUAG
rnacentral:misc_RNA from 1 species